GUUUCAUAACCUCAUAACAGGCUAACAUAGGUUACACAAUGGAAAAGGAAACACUAAAAUAAAGGAUCACAAUACAUCACAUGGAGCACAAAAGCACGUCCAACACAUAAUACUAACAACAACCACACAUCAUAGCAAUCACAUAACACACAGGCUUGAUGGACAACAAACAAGUAGUUAAUUAAGCAUUGACAGUGUUGACACACAUGUCGCUUAACAAGGAUUAACAAAAUUAUAACUUGGUCUGAUUAGACCGACCUGCUCUGAUACCAAUUGUAACACCCUUUAAUUUUCCCUUGAUUUUAUUUGCGAAGAAUUCAAUUUAGUUUAUUUCAUUAAAGGUGUCACACCUACUUUUGAAUUGAAUACUUAAUUAAAUAAGGAUUAAGCAGCAGAAAUAAAAUUAAAACCAAUAAACAUAAGUUCUAAAAUUUGAAGUCAAAAAUUAUUGAGAGCAAUAGAAUCAUUCCAAAAACCAAUUGACACUGUUCAAGUCAUUUUGAAGAAAUACUAAUUGAAUAUAUACGUGAAUCCCCCAAGACAUCCUAUCAGAGCGACUCAAUUACUGAAACAGCAAGGGACAAGCUCCCCGAACUCGGCAACUAUGACUCAUCGCCUACCUGAAAAUCUACGGUUGCACACCGUAGGGCCAAGCCAGAAAAAGGAAGCAACAAGGGGUCAAUAAUACAAUCACAAAGAAUAUCACAAACGAGCACAAUUAUUAAAAUAAAACAAUAAGUCAGCAAUAUCAACAUCCAUUCCAAUUUUUCAUCAUGUAGGAUCAACACCAAUUACAAAUUUCAGUUUUAUAUCAUGGAGGAUCACCACCAAUUUCCAGUUUUAUAUCAUGGAGGAUCACCACAAAUUUCCAGUUUUAUAUCAUGGAGGAUCACCAACAAUAGUUCGGCAACGUCAAUUGCAACGAUAUAAAUUCAACACAAAUAGAGACAUCAUGAUUUCAACAUCAGUACGUCAACAUGGUUUAACAUCAUUAACAACAGCUACAACCCACAUCAUAAGUCAACGGCUUAAAAUCAUCGGUUUAACUAAUAACUAUUAUUUAUAGAAUUUCAACGGUUUAACCCUCUCCCACUACUGUCAAAAUUAAUUAGAGUGAUUUAUUAACUCUACUNNNNNNNNNNNNUAAUAAAAGAAGGGUUACUCAAUUAUUAAAUUUUUGUCACAACCAGACCUAAACAAACCCCCGGAAGUUAUUUAUUAAUCUCUGGAAAGCAAGGAAAAGGUUUAAUUGUCGAUCUCGAUACAAAAUCAGGAACAUUGUACUUUUCCUUAAGUUAACAAACUUGAUGUAAAAAUCCUGUGAUAGAGCAGUUAGGUUCACAGAGCUACUGAGACAUGUAGGUAAGUGCUAAAAUUAUGAAAUUCGACAUACAUAAACUACUAUAUGUCCUCUUUCAAACGCAANNNNNNNNNNNNNNNNNNNNNNNNNNNNNNNNNNNNNNNNNNNNNNNNNNCCCUAGCUUAAGAUAUCAAUUUUCGAAGCUGACUGACUCAUAGGAGAUUAUAAAACAGAACUGUCAUUUUCAUAGUAUCACAAAACCAUGCACAAGUUAUAUUAAGCCCCCAAACCUUCCAGUAAUAUACUACUACUUCGUGUAUGUUUGGUUUCAAUUCUGGAGCAUCCAGAAUUGAUUCUGGACGUGUAGAAUUGAUUCUGACUUGUUUGGUUUCUCAAAAGUAGAAUUGAUUCUGCCUCCAGAAUNNNNNNNNNNNNNNNNNNNNNNNNNNNNNNNNNNNNNNNNNNUAUCCAAACAUAAACCACUUCAGCUUAAAAUCAAUUUUGGCCAGAAUCAAUUUUACAGAAUCAAUUCUGCCAAAAUCAAUUCUCUCCGCCGCAGAACCAAACACACGCUUCUUAGCUUUCAGACCCAAUUGGGUUCACUCAAAAAUAUGUUUCCUAACUCAAGUUAUACCCAAUUUAAUCCAACUACAUCAUAAUCUCCUUAUGCAGAAAAUUACCCUAACUUCUCUCUUUCUUUCAUAAUAUUGUAUAUCACACGAAUCCAAUCAACAUAGCAGAGCACAAGAAUUCACACUUUAACAAAGCAUGAACAACAACAACAACAACACUUGUGAAGAAAAGGAAGAAACAAUCAACUCAUACUAUAAAAAAUUUAGAAACUUAGAUGAAACAUUAAACCCCUUACUUAGAAUAGCAAUUAAUGUUUGGUUGUGAGUUUUGUUUUCCUCUUCUUUCUCUUCUCCCUCUCGUGCGUCAAUCUCUCUUUCUCCCUUGCUCCUCUAUAUAUUCUGUUUUUCUCUUCUCUUUUUUUUUUUUUUUUAAAAAAAAGUGGAUAGAUUUCAACUUUGUUUCUAACUUAGUCUAGUGGUUUCCUCCACAAGAAGGAAAAAUUCUGCUUUUAACUAUUCAUGGGUUUUCUUUCUACUAGGCCCAAUUUCAUUAUUUCUACUACUCUUUCUUACUCACACCCCCUCUCCACCUAUUAUAUUAUUUCUACAACCCCGUCUACUUUUUCUUCACUUUAUUUUCAACUUAUCAUUUUACUCAUUUAUUCAUCAAUUAUUUAAUUACUCAUCACACACAGUUAAAUAAUUAACAAUAAUCAACACAACAACUCCUACGAAAAUUAUUAAUUAAUUCUAAAUUCGGGGCGUUACCUUAACUUCCCAAGCAAUGUUAUUAGAACUUGUGAUGUAAGUUGAUCUGGUUAAGGCAUAGUCUUUUGAGUCAAUCUGGUGAGGCAGCGGGGUUAAGAAUUAAGA
rnacentral:lncRNA from 1 species